rnacentral:lncRNA from 1 species
AAGACCACUAUAAUACUAAUUGAUACAAUAUUAAUGAUGUUUAUCUCCUAGUCCUAGCAAACGAAGCCCCUGUACAGGCCCAAUCGAGCUACGUGUAUACACCAAUGAAUCGAUAAAUUAAAACCAAGCAGCCGGACGUGAGCUGCAGUUGGGACAAAAAGAAACAGAAACGGGAACCAGUCAACAACAGUCGUGGAAAUUCGAAUGAAAAAACCUGAGUUCUAGGCACUCCUGGUAAUAAAAAAAGACCAAGAAUCAUCGAACGCAUCAGCUCGCUACCCCUCC